AGAGUUUGAUCCUGGCUCAGAACAAACGCUGGCGGCGUGCCUAACACAUGCAAGUCGUACGUGAAAGUUCCGCAAGGAACGAGUAAAGUGGCGAACGGGUGAGUAAUACAUAGGUAAUCUACUUAUAAGUUCGGGAUAACAUUUCGAAAGGAUUGCUAAUACCGGAUAAUGUGCUUAGUCAAAAGAUUAAGCACCAAAGGUGGCCUCUUCACAAUGCUAUCGAUUAUAAAUGAGCCUAUGGACCAUUAGUUAGUUGGCAGGGUAAUAGCCUACCAAGACAAAGAUGGUUAGCUGGUCUGAGAGGAUGACCAGCCACACUGAACUGAACACGC
rnacentral:rRNA from 1 species